GAUCGGUGGCACGUUGCCCAAUAUUGCAUACGCCAUUCCUAUAAUGUAAUUAAAAUCCUUGUAAUACGAAUUUUAAUAUUUUAAUUCUUUUGAGAACUUUACUUAUUUAUUUAAUAUGAAGUGGAAAUAUUUAAAAAGCAGACAUUUUGUUUAUCAACAUCAAAAAAAUUCCUCAUCAUUGUAAUAAAUAUUAAAUAUACUAUUAUUGAAUAGCAUAUAAUGAUAUUAAAUCAUAUAAUUUAAUGAAAUGUUUCCUUUAUAUAAAUAUUCUUUUAAACAAAAUAUAUGUAUAAGAUAUAUAUCGAACAAAUAUUUUUUUAAAAAAGAAAGAACAUUUUUUUUUUAUUUCAAUUUUUGAUUAUACAUAAUACUUACGUGCUUCAUUUGGUUUGGCAUAUUUACAUAAAUGAUUAAGUUCGUCUUGUUGAUAAACUGGUCUUCUCACCGUUAUUUCAGGGCUGAUCGCCGACAUAUCGUCGCUUUGAUAGUCUGUAAAAUAUUUAAUGUCUAUUCAAACUUUAUUUGCCUUGUUUUGAAUUAAGGCGGGAAAUUUUUCGAUACUUCGAUUCGAAAUGUAGGGCGCGAAAUUCGAAACUCGUUUAAUGGAAUGGAGAAGCGUUUAGAAAAAUAAUUCGUAUCAUUAAAUGCAACAACGUAUUGAGAUAAAGUAAAGAAGAUUCACAACAUAAAUGUUUCUCGAUUUUAUAUUUACUUAAAAUUACGUAGAUAUCCGCAGCAUGCAAAUCGUGACGUAACUUUUCGCACUUUCUAACAAGAUUUGAGAAUGAAUAAUUAUAAUAAUAUUUAAUAAUAAAUAUUUGUUUCGUAAUAUCUCGAUUGGAAUAUGCAAACUAUAUUUUUGUAAAUAAAAUUAUAUCAAAAUAAAGAUUCAUUUACUUGAAA